CCAGCUUGCAGGUGGCAGAUAAUGAGACUUCUCAGCCUCCAUAAUCAUAUAAUGAGAAUGAAGACUUUUAUGAUGAGCCACUUCUACUAAAUGAAUAUUAAACGGCAAACUCUCUGCAUGACUGGAGAGGGUAAAGGGCCAGAGGAGCAGUUUUACAAGCACCACAUCUGCCACACACAGGUAGCAAAUACCACUGGAAGGUCCAAGAUCCAGGGGCCCACAUCUGCUAAGGGCUUUCAUGCCGUGUCAUCCCAUGAGGAAAGACAGAGGGAUCCUGUUCUCUGCAAAUGCAAACAGUUCUUUUAUUACAAGGCUUUUUCAAGGGGAAGAGAAAACUCAUUUGGCAGAUAAGGUUAACCUUUUAAAAAAUCAAGUGUGUUAA
rnacentral:lncRNA from 1 species